AAUCCGUCUCGAAUAAAUACACGAUACACGGCCUAUUCACCGUCAAUAGCUCGACGAAAUGUUUCGAGUAACGAUAAUUCCUUGCCUCUUGUUCGCCGCGUCUCUAGUCAACUGCGUGGACGUGAACUGGUACAAAAAUGCUCUCGUGUAUCAAAUCUAUCCGAGGAGUUUCCAAGACAGCAACGGGGACGGUAUAGGCGAUUUGAACGGGAUCACGUCACGGUUAGAUCACGUAGCUGACAUAGGAGCCCAGGCGCUCUGGUUGUCGCCCAUCUACAAGAGUCCCCAGGUCGAUUUCGGUUACGACAUCUCCAACUUCACGGACAUCGACCCGGUUUACGGCACUUUGGCAGAUUUCGACAGGCUCGUGAAAAAGGCGAAAUCGCUCGGUUUGAAGGUGAUCCUCGACUUCGUGCCCAAUCACAGUUCCUACGAGCAUCCGUGGUUCAAGAAGAGCGUCCAAAGGAUCAAACCGUACGACGAGUACUACGUAUGGCGGGACGCGAGGAUCGUGAACGGGACCAGGCAGCCGCCCAACAACUGGCUGAGCGUGUUCUGGAACUCGGCGUGGGAAUGGAACGACGUUCGACAGCAAUACUACCUGCACCAGUUCGCGACCGGCCAGCCGGAUCUCAAUUACAGGAGCCCCGCGUUGGAUAGGGAGAUGAAGAACGUGUUGACGUUCUGGUUGGAUAGGGGGGUGGACGGUUUCCGGAUCGACGCCAUCAAUCACAUGUUCGAGGACGCGAGGAUGUUGGACGAGCCGAGCGCCAACAGGACCGACCUGUCCAAGAACGAUUACGAAAGUUUGGUGCACCUGUACACGAGGGAUCAAGACGAGACGUACGAAGUGUUGAAAAGCUGGAGAAACCUCAUGGACGAGCACUCGAAUCGCACCAACUCCGACCCGAGGAUGAUCCUCACGGAGGCGUACGCGGAUUUCGAUUUAACGAUCAAGUAUUACAAGUCCGGAUCCACGGUCCCUUUCAACUUCAUGUUCAUCACGGACCUCAACAACCAGUCGACCGCCUCCGACUUCAAACAGCUGAUCGACAAAUGGGUGGGCAACGUGCCUGAGGGGAGCGUGACCAAUUGGGUCUCGGGCAAUCACGACAAUCACCGCGUCGCCUCGAGAUUCGGCAGGCAACGGGCUGACGAGAUCAUAAUGCUGACGUUGACUUUGCCCGGCAUAGGGGUUGUUUACAAUGGGGACGAGAUCGGGAUGGAGGACAGGUCGUUCACGUACGAGGAGACCGUGGACCCGGCCGGUUGCAACGCAGGCCCCGCCCAAUAUUACUUGAAAUCCAGGGAUCCCGAGAGGACGCCCUAUCAAUGGGACAACAGCACGAGCGCUGGAUUCUCCAACGGAAAGAAAACCUGGCUACCCGUUAACGACAAUUACAAGUCUUUGAAUCUUGCCGCUCAGAAGAAGGAAUAUUAUUCCCAUUACGUGGCGUUCAAGUCCAUGUCGUAUCUGAAGCAGCAGCCAGUGAUCGCGAACGGGAGCUUGGAGGUGAACGUGAUCGAUGGAAGGGUUCUGAGCGUGAAACGGCAAUUGGGAAACGAUACCGUGAUAGUUAUGAUGAAUUUCUCCAACCAUCCUGCCACUGUAAACAUCACCAAGCUACAUCCGCCUGGCAAUCUCGUCGUUUACGCGAACAACGUCGUCGGCUCCAGUCUUAGCCACGGUAACUGGAUCUAUCCGGCCUCGAUGACUAUCCCCGCAUUUAACUCAGCUAUAUUCACCAAUUACGACUUGUAUUGGCAAUAUUGGAAAGAUGUAGAUUGGUUGUAAAUUGGGAGACGAUUUUU